UCUGGCGGGGCUGUGGUGUAGGCCGGCAGCUGCAGCUCCGUUUGGACCCCUAGCCUGGGAACCUCCGUAUGCCUCGGGCAUGGCCCUAGAAAGAUGUAAAGGAAAAGAAAAUGAAGCUUGAGGGAGUGGUAAAGAUGGAGUUAGACCAGCUAGUAGGAAAUAGAGUGGAAAGGAAUAAUAGGGAUGGGCCAUGCCCUGGGGGAUAUUUACCAUUGGCAGGGAAACCAAAGAGAAGGAAGGGCCAGCCAGGUUCUAUAGCAGGGCCGAGUGUCCCCGGAGCUUACUGGGGGGCGGGGGUCGUUGCACAUUGAUCUUAAAGGAAGAUCUAAUAUAGCAGGGCCGAGUGUCCCCGGAGCUUACGGGGGGGGGGGGGGUCGCAUUGAUCUUAAAGGAAGAUCUAGUGGGAGAGAAGGGCACUUGUGUUGAUUGAACUCUUGUCUUGCAGACUUAAUUCUUAACCCGCCAGAAGUCUUCGAGGACCACCGUUAGGCCAUCUUAGGUCCAGUACAGGUGGGGGGCCACGGUCAGGAUUAAGUGUCCAGGGUUGCCUGGCCAGACACUGGAAGGUCAGGAUUGGAUGCCAGGCCUCUCCAACCCUACUGGCUCCACUCCUUUCCCGGAUGCCAGAUUGGAAGGGAGGGGUGGAAUCUAGAGGCAAUGGCUGGUUUGAGUCGGAGGGCAAUGCCAGGAUGGAGUAGGCAGCACAGCUCCUGAGCUCCUGGACGGUGGGGUCACACCACCACCCCUUCUCUCUUGAAGGUUAAGGCUUCUGGCAGAUUCGGGUCAGUCCCAAGUGCGACCGGUCUUCUGGGGCUGCCGUCCGCAGACCCUUCUCGCAUCCACGUACCUGGCGGCCUCCCUCAUCGCGUGCUGUUGGUAGGGGGGCGAGUCAGGCCCUGUACACGUCCUGACAGGCACCCGGCCCACCCCCAGCCAACUGUGCGCUGUGUUCCUGCCCCAGCACGAGACCUGUGGGGUGUCCGCGGCAGAAGAUGUCAGAGCUGGAAGAGACCUGAGAGGCGAUCCCUUGGUGGGUGAUGGGUUCUUCCGGGAAUCUGGUGGUUUGCGCGCCUUGUCGUCUGCUUCCAGAACAAGGAUCUUCGCUGUACGCCAAGACCCAGACCCCUCUGACAUCGGAAUGACAAGUGGGAUAUUUAAUAAAACAGUUUCAAAUUUGGAGUCAGUCCAGCCUCUGUUGUUUUCUCUUUUCUGUGUUAGCUGCAAAGGGGAAGAAGACCCCGCCCUUGAAGGAGUUUCAGCCAAGUGUGAGGCAUCCCUAGGGUGUCUCCCAUUUUGUUGCUUGUGUCUUUGUAAAGUGCCCAGUGGGUGAUAGAGCAUCAGGAUCUGUACCUUGGGAUCCCAGAGUGGGUUCCGGUGGUUUGACGGGGUCUCCGCCCCGUCCUCUUCAGUGUGGGUCACACUGGGUCACACACUAGAGUAUCCAGACCUCCGCCUGUGGGUUGAUGCCUUAAGAAUGCAUGACCCUCGUGGUC
rnacentral:lncRNA from 1 species